UCAAGAUGAACCCCAGAUGACGAGUCUGACUGUGUUCUGGCAAGGCUUCCUUGCCGGGACAUUUCCAUGACGAGUCCUUCUAUUUCCUACCAUUCAUGCAUAUCUGAAU
rnacentral:snoRNA from 1 species